rnacentral:rRNA from 1 species
AUGAAUGUCGCGCUCAUGCUGAGAUGGGUUUGGAGGAUCAUGCGAGGCGAUGGGGUCUUGUGGCUUUAGAUUAUCCAAGCAAAAUACCUAAGGGGUGAACCCCUGCUGGCAUGCUCCCGCUCAGGAGGAUUCCACUUUUGGCGAUCCAUCCAAAGGAUCAAGGAGGACAUUCGUUUAGGAAUCUCCUUCUCUAUAGGUAAUGGGGAUGGGACCCAAUUC